AAUCAACGCUGGCGGCGUGCCUAACACAUGCAAGUCGAACGAGAAAGUGACUUCGGUCACUGGACAGUGGCGUCCGGGUGAGUAACACGUGGGUAAUCUACCUUCGGGUGGGGAAUAACGUCUCGAAGAGACGCUAAUACCGCAUAAUGCAGCGGCACCUUAUGGUGAAUAGUUGUUAAAGCGGGGAGUCGCAAGACCUCGCGCCUGAAGAGGAGCCUGCGGCAGAUUAGCUAGUUGGUGAGGUAAUGGCUCACCAAGGCGUGCGAUCUGUAGCUGGUCUGAGAGGACGGCCAGCCACACUGGCACUGACACAC
rnacentral:rRNA from 1 species